rnacentral:rRNA from 1 species
GUAGGGAAUAUUGGACAAUGGGGGGAACCCUGAUCCAGCCAUGCCGCGUGGAGGAAGACUGCCCUCUGGGUUGUAAACUCCUUUUAUAUGGGAAGAACCGUCCUCAUUAAUGAGUGACCUGACGGUACCAUAGGAAUAAGCACCGGCUAACUCCGUGCCAGCAGCCGCGGUAAUACGGAGGGUGCAAGCGUUAUCCGGAUUCACUGGGUUUAAAGGGUGCGUAGGCGGAUAAAUAAGUCAGUGGUGAAAUCAACAGGCUCAACCUGUUAACUGCCAUUGAUACUGUGUAUCUUGAAUAUGAGAGAGGUAGGCGGAAUGUUGCAUGUAGCGGUGAAAUGCUUAGAUAUGCUACGGAACACCGAUUGCGAAGACAGCUUACUAUUUCGUAAUUGACGCUGAGGCACGAAAGCGUGGGUAGCGAACAGGAUUAGAUACCCUAGUAGUCC